rnacentral:rRNA from 1 species
AACACGUGGGUAACCUACCUAUAAGACUGGAAUAACUCCGGGAAACCGGGGCUAAUGCCGGAUAAUAUUUAGAACCGCAUGGUUCUAAAGUGAAAGAUGGUUUUGCUAUCACUUAUAGAUGGACCCGCGCCGUAUUAGCUAGUUGGUGGGGUAAUGGCUUACCAAGGCAACGAUACGUAGCCGACCUGAGAGGGUGAUCGGCCACACUGGAACUGAGACACGGUCCAGACUCCUACGGGAGGCAGCAGUAGGGAAUCUUCCGCAAUGGGCGAAAGCCUGACGGAGCAACGCCGCGUGAGUGAUGAAGGUCUUCGGAUCGUAAAACUCUGUUAUUAGGGAAGAACAAAUGUGUAAGUAACUGUGCACGUCUUGACGGUACCUAAUCAGAAAGCCACGGCUAACUACGUGCCAGCAGCCGCGGUAAUACGUAGGUGGCAAGCGUUAUCCGGAAUUAUUGGGCGUAAAGCGCGCGUAGGCGGUUUCUUAAGUCUGAUGUGAAAG